UGGGGAAUAUUGGACAAUGGGCGAAAGCCUGAUCCAGCCAUGCCGCGUGUGUGAAGAAGGUCUUCGGAUUGUAAAGCACUUUAAGUUGGGAGGAAGGCAUUAACCUAAUACGUUAGUGUUUUGACGUUACCGACAGAAUAAGCACCGGCUAACUCUGUGCCAGCGGCCGCGGUAAUACAGAGGGUGCAAGCGUUAAUCAGAAUUACUGGGCGUAAAGCGCGCGUAGGUGGUUUGUUAAGUUGGAUGUGAAAUCCCCGGGCUCAACCUGGGAACUGCAUUCAAAACUGACUGACUAGAGUAUGGUAGAGGGUGGUGGAAUUUCCUGUGUAGCGGUGAAAUGCGUAGAUAUAGGAAGGAACACCAGUGGCGAAGGCGACCACCUGGACUAAUACUGACACUGAGGUGCGAAAGCGUGGGGAGCAAACA
rnacentral:rRNA from 1 species